CGCACCUUGCGCCCUCUGGUACUCCGGAGGGCAUGCCUGUUUGAGUGUCAUGAACACCUCACCCCCUCGGGUUUCCGAUCGGGUGGAUUUGGGCGCUGCCAGUCACAUGGCUCGCCUUAAAAGCAUUAGCGGUUGUCGACGUAAUAAGUUUCGUCCUGUCGACCGCUCCUAAUCUCCUUCGGGAUGUCUCUCGGGACACAUUCAUGAUCUGACCUCAAAUCAGGUAGGACUACCCGCUGAACUUAA
rnacentral:misc_RNA from 1 species